UACGAAGGGGGCUAGCGUUGUUCGGAAUUACUGGGCGUAAAGCGCGCGCAGGCGGUUUUCCAAGUCAGUGGUGAAAGCCCGGAGCUCAACUCCGGAAUUGCCAUUGAAACUGUUAAACUUGAGGACGAGAGAGGUGAGUGGAAUUCCCAGUGUAGAGGUGAAAUUCGUAGAUAUUGGGAAGAACACCGGAGGCGAAGGCGGCUUGCUGGGCGUGAUCUGACGCUGAGGCGCGAAAGCGUGGGGAGCGAACAGG
rnacentral:rRNA from 1 species